GGAUUCCUUCUGUCCCUAUCUACUAUCUAGCGAAACCACAGCCAAGGGAACGGGCUUGGCAAAAUCAGCGGGGAAAGAAGACCCUGUUGAGCUUGACUCUAGUCUGACUCUGUGAAGAGACAUGAAAGGUGUAGCAUAGGUGGGAGAUUGUCAAUUUGCCAUCGUUCACGCGAUGGUCCGGUGAUCGCCAAUGAAAUACCACUACUUUGAUCGUUUCUUUACUUAUUCGGUAAAGCGAAAAAAUUGUGGCCAAUUUGGCGGCGUUUAUGUCGCUGUUGGUCAUUGUUUUCAUCGGCUAUUGAUCCUUUGUUUAAUUCCGACUCUUUGCGUCUCCAGUCGAUAAAUCCAUACCCGGUUAAGUCCCAUAUAUGUGAAGUGGGAUACAUGAAUGAUCACCUGAAAGAUCGAUUUGAUAAAUUUUUUACGCAACGUCAUACGUUGAAUAGACCUGUUGCAGAUUUUCUGCCAAUGAACGCCUAAUAUUAUCAAUUUUAAUCUGAUUUAUUUUUUCAACCUCGCAAUCUGAUUUGCAUAGAAAUAAAUUUAGAUCGUUCUUCCAUGUAAUUAUGAUGAACAUUUACCGUCACUACUUAGUUACAUUAUAAUGAUGUUAUCUCAAUCAAUGGACCACUCAAAAGAAAAAACAGUAAAGAGAAGUUGCUCUCGCUGGCCAUAUUGAGCAAGUUGAACUGGGUUGCAAGUAUUCAACAGGACAUUUCUUCACUUAUUUAUUUACAUCAUUUUAAUGAAUUUUUUCUUUCAAUCGUCACUCCCAAUAAUAACUUCUAAUAAAGAGACUAUCAAAAAUAAGCGAAUCUCCAAGGAAUGAUAUUUCAUUUUUUCUCUUCCAAGUACUUCAUAAAAUAUAUGCUUUUGCACAUUUGA
rnacentral:ncRNA from 1 species